GUACUCCCCAGGCGGUCUACUUAUCGCGUUAGCUGCGCCACUAAAGCCUCAAAGGCCCCAACGGCUAGUAGACAUCGUUUACGGCAUGGACUACCAGGGUAUCUAAUCCUGUUUGCUCCCCAUGCUUUCGCACCUCAGUGUCAGUAUUAGGCCAGAUGGCUGCCUUCGCCAUCGGUAUUCCUCCAGAUCUCUACGCAUUUCACCGCUACACCUGGAAUUCUACCAUCCUCUCCCAUACUCUAGCCAACCAGUAUCGAAUGCAAUUCCCAAGUUAAGCUCGGGGAUUUCACAUUUGACUUAAUUGGCCACCUACGCGCGCUUUACGCCCAGUAAAUCCGAUUAACGCUUGCACCCUCUGUAUUACCGCGGCUGCUGGCACAGAGUUAGCCGGUGCUUAUUCUGCGAGUAACGUCCACUAUCCAAGAGUAUUAAUCUCGGUAGCCUCCUCCUCGCUUAAAGUGCUUUACAACCAAAAGGCCUUCUUCACACACGCGGCAUGGCUGGAUCAGGGUUCCCCCCAUUGUCCAAUAUUCCCCACUGCUGCCCCCCGUAGGAGUCUGGGCCGUGUCUCAGUCCCAGU
rnacentral:rRNA from 1 species